rnacentral:rRNA from 1 species
GUGGCGAACGGGUGAGUAACACGUGAGCAAUCUGCCCUUGACUCUGGGAUAACUGCGGGAAACUGUAGCUAAUACCGGAUACUUUCCUCGCUGGGCAUCCAGCAGGGAAGAAAGAAUUUCGGUCAAGGAUGAGCUCGCGGCCUAUCAGCUAGUUGGUGAGGUAAAGGCUCACCAAGGCGACGACGGGUAGCCGGCCUGAGAGGGUGACCGGCCACACUGGAACUGAGACACGGUCCAGACUCCUACGGGAGGCAGCAGUGGGGAAUAUUGCACAAUGGGCGAAAGCCUGAUGCAGCAACGCCGCGUGAGGGAUGAAGGCCUUCGGGUUGUAAACCUCUUUUAGCAGGGAAGAAGCGAAAGUGACGGUACCUGCAGAAAAAGCACCGGCUAACUACGCGCCAGCAGCCGCGGUAAUACGUAGGGUGCAAGCGUUGUCCGGAAUUAUUGGGCGUAAAGAGCUCGUAGGCGGUUUGUCACGUCUGCUGUGAAAAUCCGAGGCUCAACCUCGGACCUGCAGUGGGUACGGGCAGGCUAGAGUGCGGUAGGGGAGAAGGGAAUUCCUGGUGUAGCGGUGGAACGCGCAGAUAUCAGGAGGAACACCAAUGGCGAAGGCACUUCUCUGGGCCGUAACUGACGCUGAGGAGCGAAAGCGUGGGGAGCGAACAGGAUUAGAUACCCUGGUAGUCCAC